rnacentral:rRNA from 1 species
UACGGAGGGGGCUAGCGUUGUUCGGAAUUACUGGGCGUAAAGCGGGCGCAGGCGGACUAUCCAGUCAGGGGUGAAAUCCUGAGGCUUAACCUCAGAAUUGCCUUUGAAACUGAUAGUCUGGAGUGUGUGAGGGGGUAGCGGAAUUCCGAAUGUAGAGGUGAAAUUCGUAGAUAUUCGGAGGAACACCGGUGGCGAAGGCAGGUCUCUGGGCCGAUACUGACGCUGAGGAGCGAAAGCGUGGGGAGCGAACAGG